rnacentral:rRNA from 1 species
GACGAACGCUGGCGGCGUGCUUAACACAUGCAAGUCGAACGGAAAGGCCCUGCUUUUGUGGGGUGCUCGAGUGGCGAACGGGUGAGUAACACGUGAGUAACCUGCCCUUGACUUUGGGAUAACUUCAGGAAACUGGGGCUAAUACCGGAUAGGAGCUCCUGCUGCAUGGUGGGGGUUGGAAAGUUUCGGCGGUUGGGGAUGGACUCGCGGCUUAUCAGCUUGUUGGUGGGGUAGUGGCUUACCAAGGCUUUGACGGGUAGCCGGCCUGAGAGGGUGACCGGCCACAUUGGGACUGAGAUACGGCCCAGACUCCUACGGGAGGCAGCAGUGGGGAAUAUUGCACAAUGGGCGGAAGCCUGAUGCAGCAACGCCGCGUGCGGGAUGACGGCCUUCGGGUUGUAAACCGCUUUCGCCUGUGACGAAGCGUGAGUGACGGUAAUGGGUAAAGAAGCACCGGCUAACUACGUGCCAGCAGCCGCGGUGAUACGUAGGGUGCGAGCGUUGUCCGGAUUUAUUGGGCGUAAAGGGCUCGUAGGUGGUUGAUCGCGUCGGAAGUGUAAUCUUGGGGCUUAACCCUGAGCGUGCUUUCGAUACGGGUUGACUUGAGGAAGGUAGGGGAGAAUGGAAUUUCUGGUGGAGCGGUGGAAUGCGCAGAUAUCAGGAGGAACACCAGUGGCGAAGGCGGUUCUCUGGGCCUUUCCUGACGCUGAGGAGCGAAAGCGUGGGGAGCGAACAGGCUUAGAUACCCUGGUAGUCCACGCUGUAAACGGUGGGUACUAGGUGUGGGGUCCAUUCCACGGGUUCCGUGCCGUAGCUAACGCUUUAAGUACCCCGCCUGGGGAGUACGGCCGCAAGGCUAAAACUCAAAGGAAUUGACGGGGCCCCGCACAAGCGGCGGAGCAUGCGGAUUAAUUCGAUGCAACGCGUAGAACCUUACCUGGGUUUGACAUGGAUCGGGAGUGCUCAGAGAUGGGUGUGCCUCUUUUGGGGUCGGUUCACAGGUGGUGCAUGGCUGUCGUCAGCUCGUGUCGUGAGAUGUUGGGUUAAGUCCCGCAACGAGCGCAACCCUUGUUCACUGUUGCCAGCACGUUAUGGUGGGGACUCAGUGGAGACCGCCGGGGUCAACUCGGAGGAAGGUGGGGAUGACGUCAGGUCAUCAUGCCCCUUAUGUCCAGGGCUUCACGCAUGCUACAAUGGCUGGUACAGAGAGUGGCGAGCCUGUGAGGGUGAGCGAAUCUCGGAAAGCCGGUCUCAGUUCGGAUUGGGGUCUGCAACUCGACCUCAUGAAGUCGGAGUCGCUAGUAAUCGCAGAUCAGCAACGCUGCGGUGAAUACGUUCCCGGG